ACCCUAAAUUUCCCCGUUGGUCGCUCCUGUCUCCCUCAGCCCUCCUCCUCAAGAGGCCUCAGUGCCUGGACCAAACCUUGGUGCUCUGCUCCCUACUCACUCCAGGUGAAGCCCGGGGUGCCACCCUCUAUCCUUCCAGGUGAUUUCUCGGCUACAUCCCUUUGCUUGCUGUCUGCCUGGUCCAGGGUCCCUUAGCCCCAUUCUGACAUGCUUGAGUCUCAUACCCCCACCUCCUCACCUGCUCAUGCUUCGCCUCUCUGCCCAGCUCUCCUCUCUGCCCCUUCCACCCAGUGAUUCUCACCCGAGGGUGCAUGACCCCCCAAGGAGGCCUAUCAGCAACAUCUUUGGGGUGUGUUUUUGUGUUUUCUUUUGAAUUUUUUUUGGUUUUGUUGUUUCAAGCAGUGUACUGCUCCCCCUUCAGAUGGUGUGAUAGGCCUCCCUUGGGGGUCAUGCCCACCCCCCCCUCGGGUGAAACUCACCCCCCCCCACCCCCGGGAAGAAUCACUGCUGUGGAAGCCCAACCUGACUCCUGGGCUGCACUCACCCUUGGGCCUCUAGCCUUCUACUGGUUGCCAUUGACACAUUUUCCUGCAAGAUCCCAGCAUUCACACCAUUCUCUCACUGUCCCGACACUGUCCUCCUGCAACUGCCCGACUCCCUUCCAACCCCAAUCUGCAAAACACCAUUAUUUAUCUGUAGCCACCACCACAAUUCCAAAACACACACACACACACACACACACACACACACACACACACACACACACUCACACUCACCCACGCGUAAGCUACUCCUUCCUCCCUAUCUUUACGACUCUGGUGCCUUGUGGAAGUACCUUUGUCCCAGGACCUGGACGUUCUCAGCUCUUGCUCUUCUCCCUUUUCUGGAUGUUAUCCCUCCUCUCACACCCCUGGCAUGAUCCUUCCACAGAGUCCCUGUGGUCCUCUCAGGUGCUGGUGUGUUUUCCGCCAACCAGACUUUUGCCUUCGCCUAUCCUGCUAGGGCUACACUCCAGUGGGCUCUCUGGGUGGAUUCCCUGCUCUGGCCCUCCUGCUCCUUAGUUGUCCUCAUCAUGCCCACCACUUGACACGGAAUUAGCCCACUAUGUGCAUUAAAGGAGUUGGGUAUUCCCGUGCAUGGAGCUUGGCUCCCUUCACCCAACCCCAUCCCAAUCCAUGUCCUCCUCUCCAACCCUGGCACACUAGAAACGCCUCCAGACUCGACCCCCGAUCCCACCUCUCCCUGCCUCCAUGCUCCACCCUCUGCUUAACCCUCAAUGUCCCAUCCUACUUCCCCUAUGACUUGCUAGUCAGAUGAAGGAUUGAUUGGUCCUUCCAUGACCUGUGCUGGUCUCUUCACUUACACUCCUCCUUCCCCCAUUGCCCGCUCUCUCUUGCCCAAGAGGGGUCUGCUGACUCCAACUGCUGUCCCCUGUUCCUUACCGUUGGGGGUCCACCAUUAUGAGAUGGUGGUGGCUUACCUGGCCUUCUCUGUAACCUCACCUCCUCUCGCCUAGCCCUGCUCUGACAGGGUUGUCCCCAGGCUUUUCCAUGGGACAUUUCUCCACACCUCGUCGUCCUCUGACCUCAUCCCACCAGGCCGGCAUUGCUCUUUGGCCUUACCCACUCUGUGAUCUUCAGCCUGCGUGGGCUCCUGCCCGCCCUUGAGCCACCCAUGGGAGGAAAGUACCUGCCUUCUCCUAGAGGCCACCCAGGUUUCCUUCUUUACCAUUCUUUGGGUGCAGUUCAUUCGUCCCCUGUGCUUUCUCACUCUUUUGUGCCCUUGGAAUUUGGCCCCUCUCCUACACUCUCCCACACCCCGAAUGUGCUCACCUGAAGUCCUACCUCUUGGGCCUGGGUUCAUCAUCUUUCUUGCUUGGCUUCUCUACUGCAUAGGUAGCAAGAAAACUGUCCUUCCUCAGCCAGGUGACAUUUCUGCAGUCACAGACUGUACCUCUUCUUGCUGAUGCCCAUGGUGCUCUGUGUGCUCGUUACCUCAUUCCUCCCCUUCUGCACACCCCACUGCCAUCUCCUUGGCCCUCAUAUACUCUCCUGCAUCUGCCCGCUUGCCUACGCCCUCUCCUCACAGCCUGUGAACGUGGACUGUGAUUUCCUCCAGGGACACGCGAACCUCGGUACUGGUUACCUUUCCUGAUUCCAUUGGGACCCCUUUGUUGCACAGUCUUGGGGCACAGCCCUUGGGGAGCCUCUUCCUCUGAUUCCCCUACCUCUUCCUUAUCA